CCUGCUUCUCCCUCUCCCACUCCCCCUGCUUAGGUUCCCUCUCUCACUAUCUCUCUCUGUGUCAAAUAAAUUAAAACUUUAGAAAAAAAAAAAAACACCUUUUCACAUAGGUCCUAUAUCUAGUUAAAUCUUACAGAAAAUGCUUUGAGUGGAUGAUCUUCUCAAUUCUCCCAAGGAUGGUGCUCAGCGCACAGCACUCCAGACGCACAGAAGUUCAUUCAUUACAUAAAAUGUAUGCCUGAAGGCAUUAGGAUUUAAUUCUGUUAAGAACUCCUAGACUCCCAAGACAGCCUGUUGAGGACAGGGCUGACUUAGAAUGGAGCCUAAAAAUCUUGUUGCCUAACCAAGAUCCCUUCUACUCCAGAACUCUUCAGGAGCAGGCAGCAUCUAAACCAAACUAUAAAGGAAGCCGUGUCCUCUUGUUUUGCAUUUUCAGGAAGCAGGGCUGUUCACUCAUUGCACCAGCACCUAAGAGCCCUCCCUGACCUUGGUCAAAGGACUCAAGUUCUCCUAGCCUGUUUCUUCGUACGUGAAAAUAGGAACAAGAGGACCUAGCCGACAAAUUUCACGAUGGUGAAUAUUAAAACUGAAAUGGACUUAUUCAAAGAAUUGUGGAUUCAUCCUUACAGUGGAACACUCUCCAGUUGUUUUGUGGAUGGAUGUUUUCGUACUCUUUCGUUAUCCUUGCUGUGAGUAAACACAUUGCCCCAGAAAAUCCUGCUUGGGCCCUGGGGUUCACGUGGGUUUUGUGAGGCUGGUCCUAGCCUCUGGCCUAAUCAAUUAGAGAGCUCCAUGGCCCUGGCCGUGAUUGAUUCAGGGCUAGGCAGACGUGGAAGAUACGAACCCAACAGCCACUCUCAGCCUCCCUUCUCCUUUGCUGCUUCCCACUGUAGCCUCUGGAACGUUAGCUACUCUCCCAGCUUCUCAGCCAGGAAGUGGCCAGGUAACCUAGUUCUGGCCAACGAAGUCAAAAGACCGCUCUGGGAAGAUACUCUGCUUUCUGAGAAAAAUGACAUGCUUGCAAAACAAACUAUCUGUGUUCCUUCCCUUUUCUUCCUGCCUCGAAGGCAGAUGUGAUACCUGGAGCUGGGAAAGCCAUUUUAUGACCAUGAGGCAACUAGACUAAGAAUAGAGUGGAGAAUAGAAAGAACAUAAGUCCUUGAUAUUUGACCAGUGCUGGGACUCCUGCUUCUGGACUUCUUCUAAAUAAGUCAUAAAUAUCCUAUGGUUUAAAUGUUAAGCCACUGUUAGUACUGAGUUUUCUGUAACUGAAGUUGAAAACAUGACUCAUCAUUACAGUGGAUGACUCAGGUCUUCCUCAGGGUUUGUGAUGGUAUUUUGGGAAGAUACAUUGUGGGGAGCUGUAAAAUCCAGGAAAGCUUAGAGCUACCAGUGAGAAAAGUAGAACCAAGAGAAGAGACACAGAACCCUGAUGACAUCACUUGAACCACUUAGAUCUAGCCAUGUCUGAAGCCAAAUAUAUCCCAUUAAGUUUAAUGACUGGGUGAAUGAAUUAGUGAAAACAUAAAUAAUUUUUUUUUUUUUACCCUGAGGCUAGUUAGAGGAAAUUCUGGAAGGAUACUUGGUUACCUAUAUUGCUGCAUAAUAGAUGAUCCCAGAACUCAGUGGCUGAAAACAGUAAGUCCAAUAAGAGCCAAAGAGAAAUGUACUAUGAAGCCAUGAAAAGACUAGGAAGGAAACUCAAAGAUGUGUCACAGAGAGAAAUUGAUCCGAAUAGGCUAUGUCUGCUAUAAUAUUCCAACGAUAUAAUAUUCUGGAAAAGGCAAAACUAGAGAGUAGAAAGAUCAGUAAUUGGGGAGGAAGCUGUUAGGGAGGAGGAAGGCAUGAAUAAAUGGAGUCCAGAGAAAUUUUAGGGCAGUGAAACUGUUCUGUAUGAUGCUGUCAGGGUGAAUACGUGUCUCUCUACCUGUACAAACCCAGGGAAUGUACGAGAAUGAAUCCUGAUGAAAAUAGUGGGCUUUGGCUGAUUACAACAUGUCAGUAUGGGUUCAUCAUACAAAUAACAAGUGUUUAAUAUUUAUAAUAACACACAUGCCCCCCUCUGGUAGGAGAUGGUAACAAUGCGGGAGGCUGUGCGUCUGUGGGGACAGGAGGCAUUGAGGCAUUCUCUGAACCUUCCUCUCAAUUUUGCUGUGAACCUAAAACUGCUCUAAAAAAAUCCUUUAG